GACGAGGCACUACGGUGCUGAAGCAACAAAUGCCCUGCUUCCAGGAAAAGCCUCUAAGCAUCAGGUAACAUCAAAUCGUACCCCAAACCGACACAGGUGGUCAGGUAGAGAAUACCAAGGCGCUUGAGAGAACUCGGGUGAAGGAACUAGGCAAAAUGGUGCCGUAACUUCGGGAGAAGGCACGCUGACACGUAGGUGAAGUGAUUUACUCAUGGAGCUGAAGUCAGUCGAAGAUACCAGCUGGCUGCAACUGUUUAUUAAAAACACAGCACUGUGCAAACACGAAAGUGGACGUAUACGGUGUGACGCCUGCCCGGUGCCGGAAGGUUAAUUGAUGGGGUCAGCGCAAGCGAAGCUCCUGAUCGAAGCCCCGGUAAACGGCGGCCGUAACUAUAACGGUCCUAAGGUAGCGAAAUUCCUUGUCGGGUAAGUUCCGACCUGCACGAAUGGCGUAAUGAUGGCCAGGCUGUCUCCACCCGAGACUCAGUGAAAUUGAACUCGCUGUGAAGAUGCAGUGUACCCGCGGCAAGACGGAAAGACCCCGUGAACCUUUACUAUAGCUUGACACUGAACAUUGAGCCUUGAUGUGUAGGAUAGGUGGGAGGCUUUGAAGUGUGGACGCCAGUCUGCAUGGAGCCGACCUUGAAAUACCACCCUUUAAUGUUUGAUGUUCUAACGUGGACCCGUGAUCCGGGUUGCGGACAGUGUCUGGUGGGUAGUUUGACUGGGGCGGUCUCCUCCUAAAGAGUAACGGAGGAGCACGAAGGUUGGCUAAUCCUGGUCGGACAUCAGGAGGUUAGUGCAAUGGCAUAAGCCAGCUUGACUGCGAGCGUGACGGCGCGAGCAGGUGCGAAAGCAGGUCAUAGUGAUCCGGUGGUUCUGAAUGGAAGGGCCAUCGCUCAACGGAUAAAAGGUACUCCGGGGAUAACAGGCUGAUACCGCCCAAGAGUUCAUAUCGACGGCGGUGUUUGGCACCUCGAUGUCGGCUCAUCACAUCCUGGGGCUGAAGUAGGUCCCAAGGGUAUGGCUGUUCGCCAUUUAAAGUGGUACGCGAGCUGGGUUUAGAACGUCGUGAGACAGUUCGGUCCCUAUCUGCCGUGGGCGCUGGAGAACUGAGGGGGGCUGCUCCUAGUACGAGAGGACCGGAGUGGACGCAUCACUGGUGUUCGGGUUGUCAUGCCAAUGGCACUGCCCGGUAGCUAAAUGCGGAAGAGAUAAGUGCUGAAAGCAUCUAAGCACGAAACUUGCCCCGAGAUGAGUUCUCCCUGAGACUUUAGGUCUCCUGAAGGAACGUUGAAGACGACGACGUUGAUAGGCC
rnacentral:rRNA from 1 species